UGAGGUGGGCGCGCAGCGACAGGUCUGGAGAUGCCGCUGGCGCGGCGCCCCUCACCGGCCCGCGUGUGCAGACGAGGCUGCACGUGCCUCCAUCCAGCGGCCCCCCAUCGGCCCUUGAGAAGACGACGCGCGCGGGUCUCCUUGCGGCGGCGACGACCACCUCAAGCAGUCAUGGCGGCGGCAGGAUUCCUCAUCUACGGCGAGCCCCGGAUGCGACGUCGACGCUGGCGUGACUUCCUCAUGCACGGCGGGCCCCUGAUGCGGCAUCGGCGGCGCGGCUCCAUGAUCUGUGGCGGUGGCAUGGCGGAACCGGCACGCAGGCUGCUGAAUCCUCUGAUCUGCGACAGUAGCAGCAGUUCGUCUACCUAGCAUACCUAAAGGCAACAACGACGCUGGCUAAGUCUUACAAGCCUUGGGUUUUGAAGUCUGCAAAUAUAAAGUGAAAAGAUUUCAAGGUUGUUUUGAAGACAAAGUACUUUGAUCCUGAUUUAUCUGGUAGACAUAAUAUCAGUAAUGGUUAUGGGAAAAGGAUUCCAACACCUCAUGGGAGUGGCUGGUGAAUCACUAGAAGUCAAAUGAGGGACUGGUAUGUUGUGUUAGCUUAAUUAUUUCUAUUGGUGCUUGUUUUUCUGUACUAAAGCUUCAUAGACUUCUUGCUAUACUAGCUAAUUUCUUCCCUGACCUUCAUGUAUUUAUUAAGCUUAAAUCUGAGAAGAACAAGUCCAAUAGAGCACAACAACUCUAUGGAAGGCACACCACUAGAUCAAGAAGUAAUGCAGUUGUUUUAGACUAGCUGGUAUACCAUUAUCUUAUUGAAAUUUAAUCAUUGAUUGUCUUUAUGUGUUACCACCUAUUGUUCUUAAUACAGGAACUAAAGGAAGGAAGACAGAUAAGCCGUGCUGAGCUCUAUAGCAACACAUACAGGAAAAAAUGGGCACCCAAUUGAUGACUAUAACUUUGAAAAAAAAAUACAACUUGAUUAUUUGUCAGCCAUAAAACUGAUGAUGCUGGUGCUCGUUUAAUCAACUUGAUUCAUAGAUAUAUCAGUUCUGGGUUAUCUGAAUCAUGGAAGCUCUCUCCCUCUACUUCUUUAUCUACAUCUUUUGUUGCACUACUUCCAUUUGCAUCAUUUAGGAUUUGGGACCUACACAAAAGGACAUGGGAAUAUCAUUUGAAGAUAGAUAUUUGAUUAUUUUUCUACCUUAUUGAUUGUGUUUGGUAACAAAUAUAACUCUGUAUGCCAGAAAGAUUAAAUGAUUGUAUUGUGCUGUUAAUAUCUGUUUCCAUUGGUUAAUUUCUUGA